rnacentral:rRNA from 1 species
AACGAACGCUGGCGGCGUGCCUAACACAUGCAAGUCGUGCGAGAAAGUUCCUUCGGGAGCGAGUAAAGCGGCGCACGGGUGAGUAACACGUAGGUAACCUGCCCCCCAGUCUGGAACAACUAGAGGAAACUCUAGCUAAUGCCGGAUGAGACCACGAUCCCUUCGGGGGUUGCGGCCAAAGAUGGCCUCUACUUGUAAGCUAUCGCUGAGGGAUGGGCCUGCGGGCCAUUAGCUUGUUGGUGAGGUAACGGCUCACCAAGGCUGUGAUGGCUAGCUGGUCUGAGAGGAUGACCAGCCACACUGGGACUGAGACACGGCCCAGACUCCUACGGGGGGCAGCAGUGGGGAAUAUUGCGCAAUGGGCGAAAGCCUGACGCAGCGACGCCGCGUGGGUGAUGAAGGCCUGGUCGUAAG